GUGUCAGCCGCCGCGGUAAGACGAACCAUGCAAACGUUAUUCGGAAUCACUGGGCUUAAAGCGUGCGUAGGCGGCUCAGAAAGUUGGGUGUGAAAUCCCUCGGCCUAACCGAGGAAUUGCGCCCAAAACUACUGAGCUCGAGGGAGUUAGAGGUGAGCGGAACUCACGGUGGAGCGGUGAAAUGCGUUGAUAUCGUGAGGAACACCGGAGGCGAAAGCGGCUCACUGGGGCUUCACUGACGCUGAGGCACGAAAGCUAGGGGAGCAAACGGGAUUAGAAACCCGCGUAGUCC
rnacentral:rRNA from 1 species